rnacentral:rRNA from 1 species
GAUGAACGCUGGCGGCGUGCCUAAUACAUGCAAGUCGAGCGAACGGACGAGAAGCUUGCUUCUCUGAUGUUAGCGGCGGACGGGUGAGUAACACGUGGAUAACCUACCUAUAAGACUGGGAUAACUUCGGGAAACCGUAGCUAAUACCGGAUAAUAUUUUGAACCGCAUGGUUCAAAAGUGAAAGACGGUCUUGCUGUCACUUAUAGAUGGAUCCGCGCUGCAUUAGCUAGUUGGUAAGGUAACGGCUUACCAAGGCAACGAUGCAUAGGCGACCUGAGAGGGUGAUCGCCCACACUGGAACUGAGACACGGUCCAGACUCCUACGGGAGGCAGCAGUAGGGAAUCUUCCGCAAUGGGCGAAAGCCUGACGGAGCAACGCCGCGUGAGUGAUGAAGGUCUUCGGAUCGUAAAACUCUGUUAUUAGGGAAGAACAUAUGUGUAAGUAACUGUGCACAUCUUGACUGUACCUAAUCAGAAAGCCACGGCUAACUACGUG